CGAUAAUUCGGAUGGUAGCAGGCGGGGCGAGGCCAGAUAUGCUAGUUCUGCACGCGGGGGGCAAUGACCUGGGCCUCAUCCCGCAACGUCGGUUGGUAAAAUGGAUGAAGCAGGACCUGAACAGGUUUUCGAUCUGCUUCCUGGGGUGAUGCUGGUGUGGUCUGAGAUUGUUCCGAGGCGUCGGUGGCGGCACGCGAGGGACCCAUUGGCCAUUGACAGAUGCAGGGGAAAAGUUAACAGCUUGAUGGCAAGCUUCGUGAGGAAAUUGGGGGGCGUGGUAGUGAGGCACGUAGAAUUGGAAGGCAGGCUGCCGGGUUAUUACCACACAGACGGUGUCCAUCUUUCAGCGGUGGGUCUGGAUUUGCUGAACUUGGGUUUGCAGGAGGGGAUGCAGAGGGCUCUCUUUCUUCGGGGUGGCGGAGCUCGGUCGGCUUGAGGGGUCAAGGUCCGAGCUUGUGGCGGGAUAGAGAGCUAGGGAAGGCAAAAUAGGCUCUCCAUGAGGAACGUAAGGAACAUGAAGAAUUGUGGUCACUGGUGGAUGGUGGGUUUCGAGUCCUGGAGGUGGCUCAGAACCUUGUGGGGUAGGGGUAUCUGGGUAUACCCCUACCGUGGUUACUUAUGGUUGCAUUCAAAUCGGUUCAUGUUGGAGUAAGGUUAAAGCGUUAUUUAUAUAUAUUUAUGUGUUGGUUAUGUUGGGUCAUUGCCCUGAUAUUUAAUGAAGGUAUAGAUGCGAGGGCGGAGGAUGGGGGGCAAUGAC